rnacentral:lncRNA from 7 species
GGAGAGAUGAAUGUGCUGCCGUGAGGUGAAGCAGCCCACAGCCCUCUUGCAGCAAUCCUUCAGAGAGCCCAUAAAUGCACAGGACUGCAAAGAGCACUACUGGAGGAGGUUAAUGCCCUUCACAGCCUGCAGAACUUCCCACGGUGACAUGGCGGUCACAUGCCUGAUGGUCAGCAAUGUGAUUCCAGGCCACUGCUUCUGGAGACUUCCACUGCCCCAGCUACAGGACAGAGGAAGAACAAAAGCCUGUGGAAGAAGGAAGGAGCCAAGGAAAGAUGAGAGUGGAGGAUGAAGACACCACUACACAAGACUUUGGUGACCUGCUCCAGGUCUCCUUUUUAUGGUCCCAGCAGAGACCCAGGACCAUGAAAGAGUUGAAUCGACGACCUCUGCACUGGACUCAGAUUUCUCUGCAUCUAGACACACAACGCUUGAAACACCUUAGCCUCUCAUCCAUCAGUUAGGGGAAAUACCUCUGCCUACUCCAUAAACAGAUGUACCAAAAGGUUGUGAAACACUGGGGUUGCAUGGUGUGUGAUGGGUCACAGAAACAAAACCUAAAUCUUAGUGGAAGUAGGGACAGUAGAGCGAGGAAGGACUAGAAAUAUGAGCAGAGGAGGGAGAAUGGAAGGCCAUAGCUAGUUUUAAAAAGACAAAAAGAAAUAAAAGCCUGGGAAGAGCAAAAACCUCAGGGAGAAAGUAAUAAGUUUCCAUGUAAAAGUGCAUGUGCAGAAUAUCAUAAUGAAAAAUACAGCACCAUUGUCAGGGGACUUCGCUGCUUGGGAAACAGAAGCUGAGCAAUCUGGCAGGGAGGAAAUAGCCCUGGUGUUCAUUAGUCAAAUGCAAAGAUGUACCACAUAACCAGACUUCUGCAUGACUUACAUACCUAAAUACAGAACUAGGAAUAUAUGCUGAUUUCACACCCUAUGACUGUGGACCACCUUUACUGUGCCCUUGCUGGCACACUCAUCACCCCUGGCUAGGAAUCCCAUUUGAGCACAUUGCAUCUUACAGCCUCCUCUUGUUCGCAGCAGCUCUCCCUUACAAAGGAGUGCCACAGCCCAACUCCCGCUUGCAUAGCUGGCACUGACAUUUUCCCUUUAAUUGGACUUCGCUAUAAGCAAAUUCUGCUAUUAUAGGUAUUGAUGUACCUGCGUGUAUCUAUCUCCCAGGGUUCCCGGUUAUGUUUAUUUCUUCUUGAAUUUUAUUUUGUUCUUCUUUAUUGUGCUAUUGCAGUUGCUGGUUUGAUUGGCUGUGUAUUGUAUUACAUGUGUGCACUGACUUUUGAAAAAAUCAAUAACAAUUAACUCAAAUAGGAAGAUGUAAGCAUGCUCUAUCUGUAGCAGCCAGCCCAAACAAAGCUGCCAGCCCCACCAGCAACCCAUGGGGUAGCAGCUUGGAUCUGCGGGCUAUGUAACUUUCACAUGCUUCCAAAGAUAUCUGAUAGGGAAAGGAUAUCGAAUUUCCAAAGAUAUUCAGUGGGGAGUGAUUCCAGCUAGCUGUGAUUCCUCUUCUCAUCUUGGAAAAUGCAGACAUUGACUGCUUUUUGAAUUUGCCACUGAAUUUAGCACCCAAGCAAGGGAGGAACAGGCUGAGCAGCAUGGAGGCAGGGAAGGUGUUGUGCUCGUUCCUACUCUGAGACCCUGCUGAAGUGCCAGGCUUGACUAAAUCUCACCAUGCCUCUCAUCCCUGUUGACACCUCUUCAGUAGAAGUGUACAUGUGAAGUUUUAGUUCUGAGUGCACUUAGCAUUUAGAUUGAAAUGAGAGAAAGCGACUUACCCUUGCCUUCUGUUGUCACACAGUAAGAUUGCACUGACCCUGACCAUAUCUCUGGUUUGCCUGGAGCGCACUGAAGUCGUGGGAUAUUGGGCAGCACAGCAAACACACAAUAAUCAGCACUGCAGUUAUAAUGAAAUACCUCAGUGAAGGAAAAGUGGAUUUCUUUACCAAUAACUGGAUUCUGCGAAGCAGGCUCUCAAGUCAAGCUUGGCAUCUUUUCCUUGUGGCUUUGAGAUAAGAUCACCGCAGAUGGAAACAAGUCCUCUUGGUCACGGGCUGCUGUCCAUGCAGAGCCCAGAUGGACUUUUCACUCCGGAUGCAAAACUUAAUGCAGAUCUUCUCCUGGUAUAAAUGCAAAAUAAGCCGAUGUAUGGAAAUCUGUUUUGCAGAAACCCAAUUUACAGAUAAGAAAUUCAUUUCCUGUAGUCAGGAGCUAUUCAAAAGGAAGUGGGGGUGAAAGCAAUUGAAAGAAUUUAAAUAAUUUCAAAUAAUUGCAUUUAGAUAUUUUCUUCCUCUCCAGAUAUCUUACUAUCUAAUCUCUUACAUUUCUAAGAAGUAGUGAUCAGGCAUUUAGUUUGCCCAUAGCUGAUAUUCUGUGGAAAGAUUUCAACUAAAAGACAAUAUAGUAAACCAACUGGAAUGAAGUCUUCAGAAAUGUGAUUAGGAUUUAGUGGUCAUAAAGCACAUCUUGUUUUCGGAGGAAAAAAUUUAAGUGAUGAAAAUGCACAUUUCAUGUCAGAAUUAACCAGCUGACAACUGGACUUUAAAGGCAAAAAUCAUUCCACCGCAAUCUUCAGCCAAAGUCUUCUGCCUGAAUAUUAACAUUGCACUCUGAUAAG